AUCUUUGCGCUUGGGGCAAUGACGCAGUCAGUAAGGGUUUACCGAGACGCGUCUAUUGCUGGUUGAAAACUAUAUUCCAAACCCCCUUAUCCAUGACCCUCGGGUCGGGAUAAGACUUUCUGAAAAGCUGACCUGGAAAGGACUCGGC
rnacentral:snRNA from 1 species